AAAUUGAAGAGUUUGAUCAUGGCUCAGAUUGAACGCUGGCGGCAGGCCUAACACAUGCAAGUCGAGCGGUAGCACAGAGAGCUUGCUCUCGGGUGACGAGCGGCGGACGGGUGAGUAAUGUCUGGGAAACUGCCUGAUGGAGGGGAUAACUACUGGAAACGGUAGCUAAUACCGCAUAACGUCGCAAGACCAAAGUGGGGACCUUCGGGCCUCAUGCCAUCAGAUGUGCCCAGAUGGGAUUAGCUAGUAGGUGGGGUAACGGCUCACCUAGGCGACGAUCCCUAGCUGGUCUGAGAGGAUGACCAGCCACACUGGAACUGAGACACGGUCCAGACUCCUACGGGAGGCAGCAGUGGGGAAUAUUGCACAAUGGGCGCAAGCCUGAUGCAGCCAUGCCGCGUGUGUGAAGAAGGCCUUCGGGUUGUAAAGCACUUUCAGCGGGGAGGAAGGCGUUAAGGUUAAUAACCUUGGCGAUUGACGUUACCCGCAGAAGAAGCACCGGCUAACUCCGUGCCAGCAGCCGCGGUAAUACGGAGGGUGCAAGCGUUAAUCGGAAUUACUGGGCGUAAAGCGCACGCAGGCGGUCUGUCAAGUCGGAUGUGAAAUCCCCGGGCUCAACCUGGGAACUGCAUUCGAAACUGGCAGGCUAGAGUCUUGUAGAGGGGGUAGAAUUCCGGUGUAGCGGUGAAAUGCGUAGAGAUCUGGAGGAAUACCGGUGGCGAAGGCGGCCCCUGGACAAAGACUGACGCUCAGGUGCGAAAGCGUGGGGAGCAAACAGGAUUAGAUACCCUGGUAGUCCACGCCGUAAACGAUGUCGAUUUGGAGGUUGUGCCCUUGAGGCGUGGCUUCCGGAGCUAACGCGUUAAAUCGACCGCCUGGGGAGUACGGCCGCAAGGUUAAAACUCAAAUGAAUUGACGGGGCCCGCACAAGCGGUGGAGCAUGUGGUUUAAUUCGAUGCAACGCGAAGAACCUUACCUGGUCUUGACAUCCACAGAACUUUCCAGAGAUGGAUUGGUGCCUUCGGGAACUGUGAGACAGGUGCUGCAUGGCUGUCGUCAGCUCGUGUUGUGAAAUGUUGGGUUAAGUCCCGCAACGAGCGCAACCCUUAUCCUUUGUUGCCAGCGGUCCGGCCGGGAACUCAAAGGAGACUGCCAGUGAUAAACUGGAGGAAGGUGGGGAUGACGUCAAGUCAUCAUGGCCCUUACGACCAGGGCUACACACGUGCUACAAUGGCAUAUACAAAGAGAAGCGACCUCGCGAGAGCAAGCGGACCUCAUAAAGUAUGUCGUAGUCCGGAUUGGAGUCUGCAACUCGACUCCAUGAAGUCGGAAUCGCUAGUAAUCGUAGAUCAGAAUGCUACGGUGAAUACGUUCCCGGGCCUUGUACACACCGCCCGUCACACCAUGGGAGUGGGUUGCAAAAGAAGUAGGUAGCUUAACCUUCGGGAGGGCGCUUACCACUUUGUGAUUCAUGACUGGGGUGAAGUCGUAACAAGGUAACCGUAGGGGAACCUGCGGUUGGAUCACCUCCUUA
rnacentral:rRNA from 1 species